rfam:Drosophila simulans chrT_M_3198 genomic scaffold, whole genome shotgun sequence.
AAAACGGCCCUUUUCAGGGCCAAAAUGGUUUAUACCAAAGAAAUG